UGGGGAAUUUUGGACGAAUUGGGCGCAAGCCUGAUCCAGCCAUGCCGCGUGCGGGAAGAAGGCCUUCGGGUUGUAAACCGCUUUUGUCAGGGAAGAAAUCUUCUGAGUUAAUACCUCGGGAGGAUGACGGUACCUGAAGAAUAAGCACCGGCUAACUACGUGCCAGCAGCCGCGGUAAUACGUAGGGUGCAAGCGUUAAUCGGAAUUACUGGGCGUAAAGCGUGCGCAGGCGGUUUUGUAAGACAGAGGUGAAAUCCCCGGCUCAACCUGGGAACUGCCUUUGUGACUGCAAGGCUUGAGUGCGGCAGAGGGGGAUGGAAUUCCGCGUGUAGCAGUGAAAUGCGUAGAUAUGCGGAGGAACACCGAUGGCGAAGGCAAUCCCCUGGGCCUGCACUGACGCUCAUGCACGAAAGCGUGGGGAGCAAACAGGAUUAGAUACCCUGGUAGUCCACGCCCUAAACGAUGUCAACUGGUUGUUGGGAAGGUUCCUUCUCAGUAACGUAGCUAACGCGUGAAGUUGACCGCCUGGGGAGUACGGCCGCAAGGUUGAAACUCAAAGGAA
rnacentral:rRNA from 1 species